ACCGAAAUAGCUUAGUUGGGAGAGCAUUAGAUUAUAGAUCGAAAAGUUCCUGGCUUGAUCCCGGGUUUAGGCA
rnacentral:tRNA from 1 species